rnacentral:sRNA from 1 species
GCGGAGGAAAAGAAACCAACAGGGAUUGCCUUAGUAACGGCGAGUGAAGCGGCAAUAGCUCAAAUUUGAAAGCUGGCCCCUUCGGGGUCCGCGUUGUAAUUUGUAGAGGAUGAUUCGGCGAGGGCUCCCGUCUAAGUCCCUUGGAACAGGGCGUCAUAGAGGGUGAGAAUCCCGUAUGUGAUGGGCUGCCUUAGCCAUGUGAAUCUCCUUCGACGAGUCGAGUUGUUUGGGAAUGCAGCUCUAAAUGGGAGGUAAAUUUCUUCUAAAGCUAAAUACCGGCCAGAGACCGAUAGCGCACAAGUAGAGUGAUCGAAAGAUGAAAAGCACUUUGGAAAGAGAGUUAAAAAGUACGUGAAAUUGUUGAAAGGGAAGCGCUUGCAGCCAGACUUGUCCGCAGUUGCUCAGCUUGUCUCCUGACAGGCGUACUCUUCUGCGGCCAGGCCAGCAUCAGUUCGGGCGGUCGGAUAAAGACCUGGGGAAUGUAGCUCCUCUCGGGGAGUGUUAUAGCCCUGGGUGCAAUGCGGCCAGCCUGGACUGAGGAUCUCGCUUCGGCUAGGAUGCUGGCGUAAUGGCUGUAAGCGGCCCGUCUUGAAACACGGACCAAGGAGUCUAACAUCUAUGCGAGUGUUUGGGUGUCAAACCCAUGCGCGUAAUGAAAGUGAACGGAGGUGGGAACCCUCACGGGUGCACCAUCGACCGAUCCUGAUGUCUUCGGAUGGAUUUGAGUAAGAGCAUAGCUGUUGGGACCCGAAAGAUGGUGAACUAUGCCUGAAUAGGGUGAAGCCAGAGGAAACUCUGGUGGAGGCUCGCAGCGGUUCUGACGUGCAAAUCGAUCGUCAAAUUUGGGUAUAGGGGCGAAAGACUAAUCGAACCAUCUAGUAGCUGGUUCCUGC